rnacentral:rRNA from 1 species
GACGAACGCUGGCGGCGUGCCUAAUACAUGCAAGUCGAACGCUUCUUUCCUCCCGAGUGCUUGCACUCAAUUGGAAAGAGGAGUGGCGGACGGGUGAGUAACACGUGGGUAACCUACCCAUCAGAGGGGGAUAACACUUGGAAACAGGUGUUAAUACCGCAUAACAGUUUAUGCCGCAUGGCAUAAGAGUGAAAGGCGCUUUCGGGUGUCGCUGAUGGAUGGACCCGCGGUGCAUUAGCUAGUUGGUGAGGUAACGGCUCACCAAGGCCACGAUGCAUAGCCGACCUGAGAGGGUGAUCGGCCACACUGGGACUGAGACACGGCCCAGACUCCUACGGGAGGCAGCAGUAGGGAAUCUUCGGCAAUGGACGAAAGUCUGACCGAGCAACGCCGCGUGAGUGAAGAAGGUUUUCGGAUCGUAAAACUCUGUUGUUAGAGAAGAACAAGGACGUUAGUAACUGAACGUCCCCUGACGGUAUCUAACCAGAAGCCACGGCUAACUACGUG